rnacentral:misc_RNA from 1 species
CAAUGAGAUUUGGCUCCAUGAACUAGACUAGAGUCGUUUUCAAGGCUGUGUUUGCAAAUUCAAACCCCAAUCCAAGCUUAAUUUAAAAAAAAAUGAAGGCAAGAUAAAGAAACAUGCUCAUAAAAGCUUUAUUUAGGGUACGAAAUACAUCACCAAUUCCUAACAUUUAUGAUUUACAUAAAGCGCACGGAAUGCUGGCCAUUUUCAAUUACAGUUCAGUUGUUUACUGUUUCUUCUGCUGAGACUUCAGUUCAUUUACCCUCUCUUCUGUAGCCUUCAGUGCCUUCCCAUAUUUGAAAAUUAACUGCAAUCAAAUAUUCCAAAGCUUCAAUAGUUGUCCUAGUUCAAAUGGCAAUCACUCUAUGCAAAGGGCAGAAUCAAUAUUUUUCCUCCUGACAAGGAAAUGUUGCAUCCAACAAAAGGUUUCAAGAACUAUUUUAUAAGCAACAAUUGAAGCAGGUAAUUUUUUUGGGACUAACUAUUCCAUUCCACCAAAUAUAUAAAAAAGAAAAUAAAAAAUGUAGCAGACUUGACAAACGUACAAGUGAAAUAUUCUGUCAACCUCCAGAAAAAAUCGUCUGAAUCUAUACAAGUGCAAUUACUUUGUGACUAAAUUUUAUUUGAUUGAUGUGGAAAACCAAAUAUGAAAAGAAAAUUGAAUAACUCACAUCAAAAUGCUGUUGAUUUUGCAUGGUUUAACUCGAGAAAAACAUACUAUUUAUACGUAGAGAGGCAGUGAUGGAAGCAACAUCUAGACAUAGAUUGCUUUUAGUGUGCUUCACUAACAAUUUGAGUCUUUUAGUUAGGCCAAUUAAAAGAAAAAUCAAACUUUUAAAAUUUUAUUUGAGAAUUAUUUUAGGAGCAAAAUAUGUUUAUCCAAGACAUGUACACAUUCAACCUGCUCCCAAUUAAAAUUAAAAUUUAGGGUAGCCCCUGCCAACCUCCCCUUGGGUCUGCUGUUGGUUUUACUCAACCAUAUGGUUCAACAACCAGAUUACAUGUUUACUUCAUUUUUAUCCUUUUCCCUAUAUAUUUAAUUUCAUUUAGGUAAUUUUAUAACUUUAAACUAUAAUUAAAUAUAUUCAAAGACUAAUGGUUACUAGUUGAACAUUUAUUUUCGCAUUUAACUAAUAACUCUUCUUCCUAGUAAAAUGUUACCCAACCAUGUGAAUUGCUUUGCUUUCUAUUCACCAUCUCAAGUUGCUCCUCCUGGACAUCUUUAAGUAAUGCCCAAAUUUAUUCUCUUUCAACAUCCAAUUUUAAUAACAUGAACAUAGACAUUCUCUUUGUUAUUAUGGCAAUGCAAAGGAGUAAAAAAUGGUCAAAUCAUACCUCAUCAACCUCUUCAGGGGUGAUUAUAAUUGGUGGAGACAUCAUUAUGUUAUCCCCUGCAACACGCACUAGCAUCCCAUGCUUUUCACAUUGUGCUCCAAAAUAUGCACCUAUACCUGAAUGCCAAUUGUAAACAAGUAUUCAUCAACAAGGAUAAUAAAAGAUUAAAAAUACUAGAACAAUUGGUGAGAAAAUACAAAACCAGAUGAGUGCUUAAAUGCAAUUCCUGUCCAUGGGCAGGCAACAAGUUUCCACAGAAAAUCUGGCCUUACAGAUUCUCUUUUGAUUCUGUUCUCAAGUAUAUGCUUUCAAAAAUAACAAGAGAAAAUUUUGAAAUAAUUUUCUUGUUCUUAAGAUAUUUUGUAUUUCCAUUUACCUACUGAUAAUUUUUUAAAUUACGGAUAACAAUUUCUCCUGUUCUAAAAAAUGGAGGUCAAUUUGAGUACAAGUUUUGAGAGAAAUGUUAUAGAAGAUUAAUAAUCAGCAAAAUAAAAAUAAAAAUAAAUCUUAAGCAAUUAUGAGUAGUAACAAAGGAUGAUGAAACUUGCCCCAUUCAGGUGGAAAUGGAUCAUUAGGUGACUUAUUGUCGGUAAACUCUGUACCAAGAAUCAAGCCAGUUCCUCGUAUCUCCCCUAUGAUAGGACUGUCAGAAAAGGCUUUUAAACCAUCUUGAAACUUGGGGGCAAUUUGUUUUACAUGCUCAGUAAUGUUUCUCUCCUUGUAUAACUUGAGUGCUUCAAUAGCAACAGCACACGAUACAGGAUGGCCAGAAUAAGUGAAUCCAUGAGAAAAAGUACCAAGUUUGUUGCUCUGAGAGUAUAUAACAUCUGAAACUUCUGGGCUCACCAUAGCAGCUCCAAUUGGCAUAUAUGCAGAAGAAAGCGCCUUUGCUACAGAUACAAGGUCCGGUUUAAUGUUGUAUUUAUCACACCCAAACAUUGUCCCAAGCCUUCCAAAUGCACAGAUUACCUCAUCAGCAAUAAAUAGAAUGUCAUAUUUUUUUACAACAGCUUGCACCUUUUCAAAAUAAGUUGCUGGGGGAGGUAUCACACCUCCUGCCCCCAUGACAGGCUCAGCAAUAAAUGCAGCAAUCGUCUCAGGUCCUUCUUUCAGGAUGAGGUUCUCCAAAUUGUUGGCUAAUCUGGUUGCGAAUUCCUUCUCUGUCUCACCUGGAAGAUGAUAGCGCCAGUAAUGAGGGCAGUCAGUGUGCAAUACAAAUGGAGCUGGAAGAUCAAAUUUUUGGUGCAAUGCUGGCAGGCCAGAAAGACUGGCUGCUAUCAAAGUUGAACCAUGGUACGAUUUUGUGCGAGCUAUAAACUUUUUCUUAUCUGGUCUUCCAAGAGCAUUGUUGUAGUACCAAACUAGCUUCACCUGAGUGUCGUUUGCUUCUGAUCCACUAUUUGUAAAGAAGGCUUUUGCCAUUUUAGUUGCUGUAAAAGUUUCUAGAAGGUCCUUUGCAAGAUCCAAAGAAGGUUUUGUAGUACGAUUCCAAAAGGAGUGGUAAAAUGGCAACUUAUUCAAUUGUGCCGUCGCAGCAGCCACAAGCUUCGGUUCAUUUCCUCCUGCAGAUAGACAUUACUUCAGCAGCUGCAUCCAAUUUUUUCCACUUACACAUACUUAAUGGGACCUAGAUAGACAUGGGGACAAUGCUCUUCUAGCUCUAGCCUCUAGGUAUUGGUCAAAACCCCAUAUACUAAAAUCUGACUUGCAACUGACUAGUCACAACUUGCAACAUUCAGUUGUUCCAGUUAUGCAAAGUAGAAAUAAAUGAGAUGCCUGAAUAAUAAACCAAUAUGAAACAGUGUCUUAGGCACCAUUUCAUGACAAUGUUAAAUUUUAUGGCACAUUUCUAUUGACAUUAAAGAAUUGGGGUUAACAAUUACAAGAGUCCUGUUUAAGGGUGUAAUAAUUAAGGGGGUAAAGAAGAGGAAAAAGGUUAUAAGAGUAACAAUUAAGUGUGUUUUGGUACAAAGUGAAAGAAACAAGGAGACCGUUAUAAUUUUAUUAUUUUAAUAUUAUAAUAUUAAUUUUUUUUAAUUACAACAAAUGCUAAUAAAAUGAAAUAAAUAAUAUUGUAAACCCCACCCCAAUUCUUCCUCCCUUUAACCUGUUGGGUUGGGGGGUGUGGUUAAUAAAAACAGACUAUAACAGAGUUUAGCAUUAACCCUCUUAACUGUUAAAGAAUAAGGGAUUAAGGUGUGUCAAUGGCUCACCCUGUUUAUUCUCAGAACAAACACAUUAAAGUUAUCAUUCUAUAUAAAUGGAAAUUAAAUGAUCUUCGUAUUUUCAGAUAUCAUUUUACCAAUCCAAUAUGGAUAUUUAUCACCAAUAUUUCUGCUAUUUUACAUUAUCACCCACAAUAAAUGAUUUCUACAUUUAUCAUUUCAUGUUCAGCACAUGUCCUGAAGUCUAUGUCAUGGAAAACAUGUCUUGACUGUUGAUCAUAGCCAUAUGCUAGUCCCAGUGUAUCCUUUCUAGCAGAGGUGGCUUAUUUCUUAGUAAGCUAACUGAAAAGUGAACACCACAUUUCAUCAUCCUCAAUUCUAUGGACCAAACAAGCCUAAAUGUUUACAGUUGAUUAUAGAUAUAUUGUAACCAUACUUUAUAAACUUUUAAGUGUCUUCAAAGUUUAGUAUGUAACUAAGUUACCUUAUCUAUAUACAUAAUAAAGUUGAUUCUAUUUAGACAAGAAAAUCACUGCACUAUUUGGCUCAACUUUUUUUUUUAAAAAUUUUUAAAAUGUCAUUUUCAGCACUUCUUUUGUUUUGCCUUGUGUUUGUAUGUAGAAUUUACAUGUGCAACAAACCAAAAAAAAAGAAAAAAUCAAGAUGAAAGUAGAAAUGACAAUAAAGGGUGGUCUAUGACAUAGAAAUGAGAAAGGUGAGAAAGUAUUAUAAUUACCCAAGGCAGUGCACCAAAGACCAGCAAGAGUAUCGAGAUACUUCUUCCCAUUAAUGUCAUAAACAUAGCUACCCUAGAACAUUGACCAACUUCCUUUUAAUUAUAUAACUAAGAACAGAAACAACUUUAGAUUAUUAAGAAAAAAACAUUUUAUAACCAAAAAAAUAAAAAAUUCAAAGUACACCUCAGACUUCUCUAUGACUAGAGGAUUCACGUCAGUACUCUGCCACCCAGCAGUGAAAGGUGCCAGCAUAUCAUGCCCCUUAUAACCUCCAACACCCUGGGAAUCAGCAGUUGAAUCUUCCUUUUGCAAAGAUGCCUCUGUACAAUAAAAUUUGGCCAGGAAAGGAGCCUGAAGUAAAUGUUUCUGUGAACUUCCAGAAGCAGUAACACUUUUGGUGUACGAACCGAACUGAAAAGCAAAAGUAAAGAAAGCAUUAAAAUGUAUUGACACCAAGCACUGCUUACCGAGUAAACAAAAAAUUCAGUGUGUUGGAACAGCCUGCAAUAUUGAGCAAUUCAGUUCAGUACCCUGCAACCAUUGAUCAUGGUUCCAGUUCCAUCAUCUUCAAUGGAGUCAUUCCAACUAAUGCAUCCUUCCAAAUUUUAUUACUCUCUCCAGCACAAAUGUUAGAAUAUUUAUUGUCAUUUCUUCCAAGCUUCAAUCUUUUGGCGGAAUGUUAGUAGUUGUUUCAUUUUUUUUUUAUUUUCUUUUCCUUCUUUUUUCC